ACAAAUUCGUUGAUAAGAACAAGUAAUCUUCAGUGGAUUUUUCAGAGAGGUAACGGUCGGUGUGAGUUACUAAUGAACCUGACAGAUGAAAUCAUCUUUGAGAAGCACGCUGAAAUGCAAGUAAGCAAGCCGGAGUUAAGCCACGUUACAGGUGACACGCAUUAGAUGAUGCGAUAUGAGCUGAGUUUAUACUCGGGAAUUAAGGUGGUACCACGAUUGAUAAUCGUCCUUUUC
rnacentral:ncRNA from 1 species